rnacentral:sRNA from 1 species
AUGGGUCUAGGAAAGACAAUCCAGGCAAUUGGAAUUACUUACUUCUAUAAAGAGGAAUGGCCUCUGUUAAUAGUAGUCCCUUCGUCUCUGAGGUACCCUUGGACAGAAGAAAUUGAAAAAUGGAUCCCAGAGCUAAGUCCAGAAGAAAUCAAUGUUAUUCAGAAUAAAGCUGAUGUUAGGAGAAUGUCGACCAGUAAAGUGACAGUUCUGGGUUAUGGUCUCUUAACCGCAGAUGCAAAGACUUUGAUAGAUGCACUGAAUAAUCAGAACUUCAAAGUAGUUAUAGUGGAUGAAUCACACUACAUGAAAUCCAGAAAUGCAACUCGCAGCAGGAUUUUAUUGCCAAUAGUACAGAAAGCCAGACGAGCCAUUCUUCUUACAGGAACACCAGCUUUAGGAAGGCCUGAAGAGCUUUUUAUGCAGAUUGAAGCUCUCUUUCCACAAAAAUUUGGAAGAUGGACCGACUAUGCAAAAAGAUACUGUAAUGCACACAUCAGAGUCUCACUCCCAUCGCCCAGGCUGGACUGCAGUGGCACCAUCAUGGCUCACUACAAUCUCUGCCUCCUGGGUUCAAUCGAUUCUUCUGCCUUAGCCUCCUGAGUAGCUGGGAUUACAGGCAUGCGCCACCAUGCCCGGCUAAUUUUUUUGUAUUUUUAAUAGAGAUGGGGUUUCACCAUGUUGGUCAGGCUGGUCUUGAACUCCUGACCUCAGGUUAUUAAUCAUUCUUUAUUCCAGUGUUUUACAAAUUUGUGGUAGCUAUGAAAUAAUUGGUGGACUAUUAUACAUAUAGGUGGAUGACCUAUAUGUAAAAUAAAUAAAAGUA